AAACCCAACUUAAAACCAACUUCUCUCCUACAUGGCAUUUAAAAAUAAUAAAAAAAUAAAAGUUUGAAUUUUAAACCAUUCACGCUGUCUUUUCCCCUUUCAGAUCCAAAAUUCCUCAGUCUCUCGCUCCCCCUCCCCCUCCCGCGCUCAUCCUCUUUCUCCUCCGGCGCAAGGUUCCGUCUCUGUCUCUCUCACUCCAGCGACGUCUUCGGCCACCGAGUACUGCAAGAAGCACGUCGAGACUCCCAAAGCAGCCGCCGCGUCCGAAGAACGCUCCACCUCCGACGACGACCUCAAGGCCUGGGACGCCGAGUUCGUCAAGGUCGACCAGGCCACCCCCUUCGAUCUCAUCCUGACUUUAAAUAGACUCUUUAUCAUUAAUGCUGGCUCUGGGUUUCGGAUUCUGUGGAAAGUUAUCAAGACCUUUCUGGAUGCAAGAACAAUAGCAAAAAUUCAAGUGCUUGGGUACAACUACAUUAGUAACCUGCUAGAAGUUAUUGAUUCUAGACUUUACAAGCUUUCUACUAAAGAAGCACAAUGGCUGGCU